AACGAACGCUGGCGGCAUGCCUAACACAUGCAAGUCGAACGAGACCUUCGGGUCUAGUGGCGCACGGGUGCGUAACGCGUGGGAACCUGCCCUUAGGUUCGGAAUAACUCCCCGACAGGGGUGCUAAUACCGGAUAAUGUCUUCGGACCAAAGAUUUAUCGCCUUUGGAUGGGCCCGCGUUGGAUUAGCUAGUUGGUAGGGUAAAAGCCUACCAAGGCGACGAUCCAUAGCUGGUCUGAGAGGAUGAUCAGCCACACUGGGACUGAGACACGGCCCAGACUCCUACGGGAGGCAGCAGUGGGGAAUAUUGGAAAAUGGGCGAAAGCCUGAUCCAGCAAUGCCGCGUGAGUGAUGAAGGCCUUAGGGUUGUAAAGCUCUUUUACCCGGGAUGAUAAUGACAGUACCGGGAGAAUAAGCCCCGGCUAACUACGUG
rnacentral:rRNA from 1 species